UACAGAGGGGGCCAGCGUUAUUCGGAAUUAUUGGGCGUAAAGGGCGCGUAGGCGGCCACUGCAAGUCGGUUGUGAAAUCUCCGGGCUUAACCCGGAAAGGUCAACCGAUACUGCAGGGCUAGAGUGCGGAAGGGGCAACUGGAAUUCUCGGUGUAGCGGUGAAAUGCGUAGAUAUCGAGAGGAACACCUGCGGCGAAGGCGGGUUGCUGGGCCGACACUGACGCUGAUGCGCGAAAGCUAGGGGAGCGAACGGG
rnacentral:rRNA from 1 species